CAGGCUUAACACAUGCAAGUCGAGGGGCAGCAUGGUCUUAGCUUGCUAAGACUGAUGGCGACCGGCGCACGGGUGAGUAACACGUAUCCAACCUGCCGUCUACUCUUGGACAGCCUUCUGAAAGGAAGAUUAAUACAAGAUGGCAUCAUGAGUCCGCAUGUUCACAUGAUUAAAGGUAUUCCGGUAGACGAUGGGGAUGCGUUCCAUUAGAUAGUAGGCGGGGUAACGGCCCACCUAGUCUUCGAUGGAUAGGGGUUCUGAGAGGAAGGUCCCCCACAUUGGAACUGAGACACGGUCCAAACUCCUACGGGAGGCAGCAGUGAGGAAUAUUGGUCAAUGGGCGAGAGCCUGAACCAGCCAAGUAGCGUGAAGGAUGACUGCCCUAUGGGUUGUAAACUUCUUUUAUAAAGGAAUAAAGUCGGGUAUGCAUACCCGUUUGCAUGUACUUUAUGAAUAAGGAUCGGCUAACUCCGUGCCAGCAGCCGCGGUAAUACGGAGGAUCCGAGCGUUAUCCGGAUUUAUUGGGUUUAAAGGGAGCGUAGAUGGAUGUUUAAGUCAGUUGUGAAAGUUUGCGGGCUCAACCGUAAAAUUGCAGUUGAUACUGGAUAUCUUGAGUGCAGUUGAGGCAGGAGGAAUUCGUGGUGUAGCGGUGAAAUGCUUAGAUAUCACGAAGAACUCCGAUUGCGAAGGCAGCCUGCUAAGCUGCAACUGACAUUGAGGCUCGAAAGUGUGGGUAUCAAACAGGGUUAGAUACCCUGGUAGUCCACACGGUAAACGAUGAAUACUCGCUGUUUGCGAUAUACUGCAAGCGGCCAAGCGAAAGCGUUAAGUAUUCCACCUGGGGAGUACGCCGGCAACGGUGAAACUCAAAGGAAUUGACGGGGGCCCGCACAAGCGGAGGAACAUGUGGUUUAAUUCGAUGAUACGCGAGGAACCUUACCCGGGCUUAAAUUGCAGAUGAAUUACGGUGAAAGCCGUAAGCCGCAAGGCAUCUGUGAAGGUGCUGCAUGGUUGUCGUCAGCUCGUGCCGUGAGGUGUCGGCUUAAGUGCCAUAACGAGCGCAACCCUUGUUGUCAGUUACUAACAGGUUCCGCUGAGGACUCUGACAAGACUGCCAUCGUAAGAUGUGAGGAAGGUGGGGAUGACGUCAAAUCAGCACGGCCCUUACGUCCGGGGCUACACACGUGUUACAAUGGGGGGUACAGAGGGCCGCUACCACGCGAGUGGAUGCCAAUCCCCAAAACCUCUCUCAGUUCGGACUGGAGUCUGCAACCCGACUCCACGAAGCUGGAUUCGCUAGUAAUCGCGCAUCAGCCACGGCGCGGUGAAUACGUUCCCGGGCCUUGUACACACCGCCCGUCAAGCCAUGGGAGCCGGGGGUACCUGAAGUGCGUAACCGCGAGGAGCGCCCUAGGGUAAAACUGGU
rnacentral:rRNA from 1 species